rnacentral:siRNA from 1 species
AUGGGCUUUUUGACCAAAUCGUGG